rnacentral:rRNA from 1 species
GCUAUGGGAGAUGGUAGGUACGGGCUAUUAGGUAAUGGCUCUACUACCCUAUCAAAUCCAACAUUACAACAAAUCGGUACCGCCACUAAUUGGCAAAAAAUUUCGGCAUCAAAUGAAAUGACUAUUGGUUCAAAAACGGAUGGGACUAUCUGGGGCUGGGGACAAAAUGAUGAAUAUGAAAUGGGGAAUAAUACGUGUUGUGCCAAUCAACUUACUCCCAUUCAAAUUGGUACAGCGAAUCAUUGGGUGGAUAUUGAAACCAGUAGGGGUGCCUCUGUUUUUGCUUUAAAAAAUGAUGGUACUAUUUGGGGUUGGGGAUUGAAUCUUGCAGGUUUAUUAGCCGAUAAUACCGUUAUGGCACGAAGUGUUCCCACUCAACUGAAUGCAGAUACUGAUUGGGCUAGUAUUCAUGUUGGUGCUGCCCAUAUUUUAGCCUUAAAAACCAAUGGCACCUUGUGGUCUUGGGGGGGUGGGUAAAACCAUUUAGUACCGUAGCUAACGCGUGAAGUUGACCGCCUGGGGAGUACGGCCGCAAGGUUAAAACUCAAAGGAAUUGACGGGGACCCGCACAAGCGGUGGAUGAUGUGGAUUAAUUCGAUGCAACGCGAAAAACCUUACCUACCUUUGACAUGUACGGAAUUUGCCAGAGAUGGCUUAGUGCUCGAAAGAGAACCGUAACACAGGUGCUGCAUGGCUGUCGUCAGCUCGUGUCGUGAGAUGUUGGGUUAAGUCCCGCAACGAGCGCAACCCUUGUCAUUAGUUGCUACAUUUAGUUGGGCACUCUAAUGAGACUGCCGGUGACAAACCGGAGGAAGGUGGGGAUGACGUCAAGUCCUCAUGGCCCUUAUAGGUGGGGCUACACACGUCAUACAAUGGCUGGUACAAAGGGUUGCCAACCCGCGAGGGGGAGCUAAUCCCAUAAAACCAGUCGUAGUCCGGAUCGCAGUCUGCAACUCGACUGCGUGAAGUCGGAAUCGCUAGUAAUCGUGGAUCAGAAUGUCACGGUGAAUACGUUCCCGGGUCUUGUACACACCGCCCGUCACACCAUGGGAGCGGGUUCUGCCAGAAGUAGUUAGCCUAACCGUAAGGAGGGCGAUUACCACGGCAGGGUUCGUGACUGGGGUGAAGUCGUAACAAGGUAGCCGUAUCGGAAGGUGCGGCUG